GCACAUUUUACUGACUGCUGUUUUGUUAAUGAAAAUAUCUUAAGAGUCCAGGUGUUUGACAACAUUAUUAUAUGGCUUAAACAUUAAGCCUAGGACAAGGCUCAGAAUGAAAUUCUGUUUGCUAUUGUAAAGACUAACCUAUGAGGAGGGAAACAGUGUUGGCAGGACUUGUUACAAUACUUAGUGACAUACCAUAUUUUGAGCAGACAGCAACAUAAGAGUGGGGCAGAAUACAAAUCCAUCAUGAUAAUCAUUCUGUGGAGCAUCAAGACAUCAGCCCAUCGUAGGCUGUAGCACUACAAGUGUCCAGCCUCAUUCCACCAUUCCAACCACAACGCCAAGAAGAGGAUGGUGACUUCUUCCAUCCGCACCGUAAUUGUUAUCUGAUGGAUUCCAUCAUUGCUGCUUUUCAUUCCCUGGAAAUAGUUUGUACUUUGAUUCAAAAGUAGAAGUGAUAAAAGAUGUGAGCUGAAGGUGAAAUCCACCCCUGCAGCAAUCAUGUGUAGGUGGUGCAUGGCUACAAUGUCUUUUGGCUUGUAUCUUACAUCUUCAGUGUGUGAAGGCAGGCUGAAAUGUUCCGUUGAACUAUGCACAUAGUUCUUUCUUUGCUGUGCUUGGAUUUGUGCAAAGGUAGAAGGCACACCAGUGUUUUCCACGGUUGCUUGGGAGAUACACUGCAAUGGAAACAGAUAGGACCCUUUUAUCCUGCAUAUGGAACAAAUUAAUGAAAAUUGCAAAAAGUGAAUGCAAGGAGUUUUUUGGCCUUCUCCUUGUUUCCUACCCAGUCAUCUACACAAGACUGAGAGAAAGUAGCUUGUUUUCUCUUUCCUAUUUAUGCCUACUUCAUACACAGGGUUUCUAUAGGUUGGUCUCAUUGUAAAGACUGAGUCCUUUAUAUUUUGCUUUACUAUUUUAUCAGACACUGUGGGUUUACUUUCCCCUACAUUUAGAAAAUGAGAAAGUUGAGAAAAUCACAGUUUUCUAGAUCCAGAAGUCAGCUUAUUGGUUGUUAGGAGAAAACUGCAUAGUUCUAUGAAAAAAAGUCCUUUUCUCUCUCUCUCUCUCUCUCUUUUUUUUUUUUUUUUUUCCUGCCCUUUGAUAGGAGAAUUGUUAUAUGCCACUGGGAGGCUUUCUGGUACCAAAAUUCGAUGUAUUUAAAGGAUCCUUUUCCUUUAAAAAAUAAGUUUGUAAGACUGUCUUUUCCAGACUUGAAUGUUCUGGUUUGGGGGUUACCCAUAAUAAAUGUCUAAGCAGACUAUUACGAAGAGAAACAACUACAGGUGCAUGCAAAAAUUAGUGCAGUGUUUGUCAGAAAAUAUGAAUGCUCUAGGAUUCUCUAGCAGUCGCAUUCAUCAAAGCCCUUUGUCUAUGAUAACAUCGGUUCUAUGUCUAAUUCCUCCCACUGGAAGUACAUUUAGUAGCUGUUUUUCAUGUUCUGUGAAAACUCUUGAAAAUGAAAUUGGUUUCCUGCAGGGCAUUCAUUACAAUGAUGUAAAUCCAGAACAAUUAAACUGAAGUUGAUGAUGUUACUCCAGAUUUACAUAUCUGUAAUGGAGAAUACAAUCUGGCUCCAUAUGCAUAUGAAAUCCCAGCUAAUGUAUAACUGGCAUGGAAGACAAUAAUUUUUAAUGUGACCUUUUAUAAAUUUUCUCAGAUUUUUUUUUAAAGGAAAAAAUGCACUCUGGUCAAGUAGCAGACAGUGGUGCUGUUGAUUCCAGAUUGCAUGUGUAUUACUCAUAGAUCCAGCUGUCUGUCUUCAUUCUCAUUCACCAUGGGAGCCACUGGUCCCUCAUACUGAAACAGAAGCAGUUGAACCUGGAGGGGAUGCAGGACUUUGUCCAACUUGUUUUUAGUGGCUGGACAUCCAUUCAGACAAGUGAGAAAGCUCUCAAGUGCAGCAACAAUCAAUGAGGAAGGAAAUUGAAUUUGUGUUCAAGUCCUACUGGGUCAAAUGGUUCACAGCAGCUUUUUCUUCUUCUGUUAUCACAGCUCCUCUACCAACUAGAGAAAGACUGGGAGAAAAUCUUGCUCUUGGAAGAUUAAAUACUCUUUGAUGAUAAUGGAGGUUGAAGAACUGAUCCUCAAAACUGAUUUGUGCUGAAUGGCUUGAUAAUCGGCCACUUCCUACACAUUGCAUUUCUCCAAAACUAUACUCUUAUUUAAGAAGUUGAUAAUCCCCAAACUCUAUUCCUAAUUUUUUCUUAUGGUAUUGAAUUAUUUUCUAUAAACCAAGGCAGCUGCUGAGGAAAGA